GAUGAACGCUGGCGGCGUGCCUAAUACAUGCAAGUCGAGCGAACGGACGAGAAGCUUGCUUCUCUGAUGUUAGCGGCGGACGGGUGAGUAACACGUGGAUAACCUACCUAUAAGAAUGGGAUAACUUCGGGAAACCGGAUCUAGUAUCGGUUAAUAUUUUGAACCGGAUGGUUCUAAAGUGAUAGACGUACUUGCUGUCACUUAUAGAUGGAUCCGCGCUGCAUUAGCUAGUUGGUAAGGUAACGGCUUACCAAGGCAACGAUGCAUAGCCGACCUGAGAGGGUGAUCGGCCACACUGGAACUGAGACACGGUCCAGACUCCUACGGGAGGCAGCAGUAGGGAAUCUUCCGCAAUGGGCGAAAGCCUGACGGAGCAACGCCGCGUGAGUGAUGAAGGUCUUCGGAUCGUAAAACUCUGUUAUUAGGGAAGAACAUAUGUGUAAGUAACUGUGCACAUCUUGACGGUACCUAAUCAGAAAGCCACGGCUAACUACGUG
rnacentral:rRNA from 1 species